CCCAGACUCCUACGGGAGGCAGCAGUGGGGGAUAUUGCACAAUGGGGGGAACCCUGAUGCAGCGACGCCGCGUGGGUGAAGGAGCGUUUCGGCGCGUAAAGCCCUAUCGGCAGGGAAGAAGGAGGACGGUACCUGACUAAGAAGCCCCGGCUAACUACGUGCCAGCAGCCGCGGUAAUACGUAGGGGGCAAGCGUUAUCCGGAUUUACUGGGUGUAAAGGGGGCGCAGACGGCAGCGCAAGCCAGGAGUGAAAGCCCGGGGCCCAACCCCGGGACUGCUCUUGGAACUGCGCGGCUGGAGUGCAGGAGGGGCAGGCGGAAUUCCUGGUGUAGCGGUGAAAUGUGUAGAUAUCAGGAGGAACACCGGUGGCGAAGGCGGCCUGCUGGACUGCGACUGACGUUGAGGCCCGAAAGCGUGGGGAGCAAACAGGAUUAGAUACCCCAGUACCC
rnacentral:rRNA from 1 species